GGAAUAUAAGAACCCGUCUCUUCACUUUUAACCUAAAAAACUAAGAACCGGUUUUUAAAUAAGAGUUUUAAAAGCCGGUUCUUAACUUUUUUAGUUAAAAGUUAAGAGACGGUGCUCUUAUAUUCU
rfam:Brassica oleracea var. oleracea cultivar TO1000 chromosome C3, whole genome shotgun sequence